GCUGGGUGUGGUGGUGCAUGCCUGUAGUCCCCGCUACUCAGGAGGCUGAGGUGGGAGGAUCACUUGAGCCCAGGAAUUGGAGGCUGCAGUGAGCUAUGAUCGUGCCACUGUACCCCAGCCUGGGCAACAUAGUGAGACCCCCACCUCUA
rnacentral:SRP_RNA from 1 species